ACUAAGGUGGAAAGGAAUGAUCAAGUUAGCAAUCUCAAGAUUGAUACAGCAACACACUACAGCACUAGAGUGGAUUCUCUAAUGCCAGGAAUAAGUUCUUUUUGGCUCUCCAUGAUAUGCUCUGACUACACUUCUGCUAGAACAUAGCAGUGACUUUCUGACAGGGAGCAAGAGAGGGGAAGUCAUGUGGGAGGGGACUUUCCCAAUGAGAGAAUUCAUAUAUCGCUUCCUUCCUAAUUCUCUCUGAUGCUGAUUCAGUGUCAUUUCUCCAGACUUAUCCCUGGCCUUACCCUGUUCUCAGUGCAAUGUCUCCAUUCUACCCAGUGGAAAACACCUUGAUUAAAGUCCCACCUCAGGUGAUUCCAAGAGCAUAGUAGAGCUACUUCCUGGCUUAUUUGCUAGCACCAUGUUUUUUUAAUUACUUUAGAUCCUUUGCAGUCUUGACCUAGCUGCAUAAAGAGGCAUGCAAUGGUUUUAAGGGAUGUCUUAGCUGUGACACGCUUAGUGGCUGUGGUGCAAGCCACAUUCAUUCUCCCAACCUCUAAAAGUACCUGAUGAGGAUGUGCAGCAUUCAAACCACCAGCAAAGAUUACUGGAUACCCCAGGUCAGCUGAUCCAACUCCCAGGGCAGCAGGCUGAUAGGAAAGACGAGAGCUGGAAAGCUAAGAAACGAGAAAAAAUACAAAGAGGGGCAAAGAGAGAGGAGAGAGAAAGGGGAGAGGGAAAGCCCCCACAGUCUGAAUAGUUAUCAGAAUCACUGGAGAAAGAACAGGAGAUGUCACAGAGGCACAGUACAUGCAUGGCGCUGGACUACCAGAGUGCCUCAAAGAUUUAUAUGGGAACCAAUGCCCAAGGUUUGAUUUAAUUUAUCUAUUUUAAAACAAAUCAGCCUUGUAACAGAAAGAGGAUAAAGGUUUGGCCUUAAAACAAGCCUGGUUUGAAUGGGAGAGAGAAUGUAGGGAAAGCCUGCAUGACAGCUCUUGCAUCACAUACUGGAGAAAGGACCAGCGCAACCACUUCAAAACUCAUUGAAAAGCUCAUAUAAACACUGGCAUUUUAAAGCCACUUCCUCAUCAGGGAUUCAAGCUCUCAGCAUACUUACUGCAAACACAGGGGGAUGUAGCAGGAAUGAAGGACACCCCCCACCUAAUCAAAGGAAACAAACCUUGGCCAUAGGACAUACAGGCCCUCAAGCUUGCUAGCUAAAAAGAAAACCAGCAAGCUAAGCCCCACAAGAUUUCCUCCCAGUAUCCCAAACCCAACCAGAAGGAUGAGCAUCAGGAGAUGCUCCCCAUCUUCAGCCACCUCUUCUCAAUCACUUGAUCCUAAUUAGAAACACAGCUAGUGGGAUCAAUAGGAAUCCCGUUUGUUCUUCUGACCUCAGAAGCAGCACUCUGUUAGGAGCCAUGUAUCACAUGAUAUCCUCAAUUGAGACAAGGUGGGUGAGGUAAUAUCUUUUAUUGGACCAAUUUCUGUUGGUAAAAGAUAUACAAGCUUUCAAGCUUAAAGAAGCUCUUCUUCAGGUCUGGGAAAGGUUCUCAGUGUCACAGCUAAAUACAAGGUGGAAGAGAUUGUUUAGCAUAAGUAAUUAACACAUAUUCUAAGGGAACAUUUCAGAAGUGGCUUGCUAACUCCAUGUAGUCACAGGAUGAAAAGGGGAGGGCAAUGAGUUACAGAUUGUUGUAAUAAGCCAUAAAUCCAGUGGUUUUUUUAAGACCAUGAUUUUUAGAGUCUAGCAAAGUUAUGAAGUUAAGUUCCCAGGCUCAUCUUUUGAAGGUUUUCUUUGAGGACGAGGAUGAGAGAUCAGAUAUAAAGCGAUCACUUUGUGAAAAGUGUGCACCCACUCAUGAUAGGGUAUUUUUGUCUUCUAACCUUUUCCUAUACAAGUUCACUUGAGAGCAUAGUGAUUGCCUGAUUUCACCCAUAUAGUUUUUAUUGGGGCAUUUAAUGCACUGGAUGAGAUAUAUCACAUAUUGUGAUAGGCAUGUGCAGGACCCAUGGAUUUUGAAAGGUGUGGAGAUAGGUCUGCCAGUUUUGCAUCUGUUAUGGCAGGGUCUGGUGCUGCUUUGAGUUGGUGGAUCCUAGUCUCUGGGAAGCUUGCUUUGGAUAGUGAGGUUGGGAGGUUGUUUGAAGGCCAGAAGAGGGGGCUGGAGAAAGAUUUCUUUCAGGAGGUGGUCCCCAUGAAGUACGGGUUGUAAUUGUUUAAUGAUACCCCAUAUUUGUUCCAGUGUGAGGUGGUAGGUGACAACUAGAGGUGUGUGGUCGGAGGGUUCCCCCCCCCAUAUUGAAGCAGGUUCUCUUAGGGUAUUUGGGUGGCCCAUUCCAUGAUGUGAUCUAUUUUUCUGGUGGAGUGUCCUUAUUUGGUGAAGGUGUGUAUCCUGGACUUUCUUCUCAGAGCAUAUUCUGUGGUAUCUGAGGGCCUGGCUGUAGAUAACAGAUUUCUUGGUGUGUUUGGGGUGGUUACUGGAUCUGUGAAGGUAAGUAGGGUGAUCCAGGAGUUUCUUGUAUAUAGUUAUCUGUUGAAUGCCAUUACUGAAGCUAAUUGUGGUGUCCAGAAAGUUGAUGCCGGUGCGGUAGUGUUCUAGAGAGAGUUUGAUAGAUGGGUAGUGGUUGUAGAAAUUGUGGUGGAAAUCUAUGAUGGGUGGGUCUGACACAUGCCUAUCACAUCUGGUGCACUAAAUGCUCUAACAACAACUGUGGGGGGGAAAUCAGACACUCACUACACUCUUAACUGAAUUCACACAGAAAAAUGAUAAAAGACAAAAAACACCAUAUCACUCACGGAUGAACACUUUUCACAAAACGGUCACAAGACCCGACCCCCAGGACAUGAAGGGUUCUUCCACUGGUGUAGGUGCUCCACCUCCAUCAACCUAGAACUGUCUACACUGGAGGUAACUCAGCUUAAUUACAUCACUCAGGGAUGUGGAUUUUUCACACCACAUGAGAUGUAGCUAAUGCCGAUAUAAGUUCCCAGUGUAGACCAGCCCUCAGUACCUUUCCCAGAGCUGAAGAGGAGCCGCAAGAGGUAGCUUGAAAGCUUGUCUCUCUCACCUACAGAAGUUGGUUCAAUAAAAGAUAUUACCUCACCCACCCAGGGACUGACAUGGCUACAACACUGAAUCCCCAAGUAAAUCAGUACUCCGAGUGCUGACAUUUUUGAGGCGGGGCCUGACAAUUUAAGGCUGCCCACAGAUAUCAGGCUGGGCUCCUUCUAGAGUCUGGGUUAAGCUGGAUGGAGUGGUCUCUUCUCACAAACCAGGCUGGCCCAGUCUCAAGAACUCUUAUUUUGCUAGGAGCAUCAUCUGAUGGUACUCUGACUUUCAUAGGGCUUUCUGCUCCCCAGAGAGUCCCCAGUCCCUCAGGGAACUCUAGGGGCCAGUCUUUCUCUUUUUAAAUAAAGUCCCCCAACUCAUGCAGACAUCCCUUCCCAUCACUACCCUGUGAUUUACUAUGAAUUAAGACAGCCAGUCUCUCUUCACCAGACACUGUCAACUUGAAAUUCAAUUAAUUUUUAAAAGUGGAGUUAAAAGUAACCUCAGCCCUGCACCUGCCACUCAGAUCCCCAGCAAUGUGUGUGAUUUUAUAAUAAAAAUGUU